GAUGAAGAACGCAGCGAAAUGCGAUAAGUAAUGUGAAUUGCAGAAUUCAGUGAAUCAUCGAAUCUUUGAACGCACAUUGCGCCCGCCAGUAUUCUGGCGGGCAUGCCUGUUCGAGCGUCAUUACAACCCUCAGGCCCCCGGGCCUGGCGUUGGGGAUCGGCGGAAGCCCCCUGCGGGCACAACGCCGUCCCCCAAAUACAGUGGCGGUCCCGCCGCAGCUUCCAUUGCGUAGUAGCUAACACCUCGCAACUGGAGAGCGGCGCGGCCACGCCGUAAAACACCCAACUUCUGAAUGUUGACCUCGAAUCAGGUAGGAAUACCCGCUGAACUUAAGCAUAUCAAUAAGCUGAGGA
rnacentral:misc_RNA from 1 species